rnacentral:rRNA from 1 species
AGCAGCCGCGGUAAUUCCAGCUCCAAUAGCGUAUAUUAAAGUUGUUGCAGUUAAAAAGCUCGUAGUUGAAUUUCGGGGUUAGUAGGUUGGUCAUGCCUCUGGUAUGUACUGGUCUCACUGAUUCCUCCUUCCUUAUGAACCGUAAUGCUAUUAAUUUGGUGUUGCGGGGAAUUUGGACUGUUACUUUGAAAAAAUUAGAGUGUUUAAAGCAAGCUAACGCUUGAAUACAUUAGCAUGGAGUAAUGAAAUAGGACGUUCGAUCUUAUUUUGUUGGUUUCUAGGAUUGACGUAAUGAUUAAUAGGGAUAGUUGGGGGCAUUAGUAUUCAAUUGUCAGAGGUGAAAUUCUUGGAUUUAUUGAAGACUAACUACUGCGAAAGCAUUUGCCAAGGAUGUUUUCAUUAAUCAAGAACGAAAGUUAGGGGAUCGAAGACGAUCAGAUACCGUCGUAGUCUUAACCAUAAACUAUGCCGACUAGGGAUCGGAUGAUGUUAAUUUUUUAAUGACUCA